UUGCACCAAGUCGUCCAGUGUUCGGCUUUGCGAGCAACACACUAGGAUGACUAAAGGACGUAACACUUCUGGACGGGAAUUACAUGUUCAAGAAUUGUUUUGAAAUGUACAAGGAAGAUAUUGGCAUUCUCCUUGCGCCAUCAGCUGUUCAACAUCUGCGAGCUGCAAAGGUGAACACACUUUCAUGUAAACAGGGCCACGUGCAUGCACUGGUACAAGGUUGUUCAGUUGUGCUAGAUAGAACAAAACACAAUCCUAGUCUUCAUGCACCAACCACAGAAAUGAGGGCUGAACAUCAGCUCCACAAGUGAAAGCAGGUUUCUAGCAGCCUCAUAUCAACAGUCACUCUGUUUAACUCAAUCAUAAUUGCUCAUUCCUCUGCUGUAUUUGUGCGUGCA
rnacentral:lncRNA from 1 species